CCUACGGGUGGCAGCAGUGGGGAAUAUUGGACAAUGGGGGGAACCCUGAUCCAGCCAUGCCGCGUGUGUGAAGAAGGCCCUCGGGUUGUAAAGCACUUUCAGUGAGGAAGAACGCCUGGUGGUUAAUACCCAUCAGGAAAGACAUCACUCACAGAAGAAGCACCGGCUAACUCCGUGCCAGCAGCCGCGGUAAUACGGAGGGUGCGAGCGUUAAUCGGAAUUACUGGGCGUAAAGCGCGCGUAGGUGGCUUGAUAAGCCGGUUGUGAAAGCCCCGGGCUCAACCUGGGAACGGCAUCCGGAGCUGUCAAGCUAGAGUGCAGGAGAGGAAGGUAGAAUUCCCGGUGUAGCGGUGAAAUGCGUAGAGAUCGGGAGGAAUACCAGUGGCGAAGGCGGCCUUCUGGACUGACACUGACACUGAGGUGCGAAAGCGUGGGUAGCAAACAGGAUUAGAUACCCUAGUAGUC
rnacentral:rRNA from 1 species